rnacentral:rRNA from 1 species
AUGGAGCCGACCUUGAAAUACCACCCUUUAAUGUUUGAUGUUCUAACGUUGACCCGUAAUCCGGGUUGCGGACAGUGUCUGGUGGGUAGUUUGACUGGGGCGGUCUCCUCCUAAAGAGUAACGGAGGAGCACGAAGGUUGGCUAAUCCUGGUCGGACAUCAGGAGGUUAGUGCAAUGGCAUAAGCCAGCUUGACUGCGAGCGUGACGGCGCGAGCAGGUGCGAAAGCAGGUCAUAGUGAUCCGGUGGUUCUGAAUGGAAGGGCCAUCGCUCAACGGAUAAAAGGUACUCCGGGGAUAACAGGCUGAUACCGCCCAAGAGUUCAUAUCGACGGCGGUGUUUGGCACCUCGAUGUCGGCUCAUCACAUCCUGGGGCUGAAGUAGGUCCCAAGGGUAUGGCUGUUCGCCAUUUAAAGUGGUACGCGAGCUGGGUUUAGAACGUCGUGAGACAGUUCGGUCCCUAUCUGCCGUGGGCGCUGGAGAACUGAGGGGGGCUGCUCCUAGUACGAGAGGACCGGAGUGGACGCAUCACUGGUGUUCGGGUUGUCAUGCCAAUGGCACUGCCCGGUAGCUAAAUGCGGAAGAGAUAAGUGCUGAAAGCAUCUAAGCACGAAACUUGCCCCGAGAUGAGUUCUCCCUGACUCCUUGAGAGUCCUGAAGGAACGUUGAAGACGACGACGUUGAUAGGCCGGGUGUGUAAGCGCAGCGAUGCGUUGAGCUAACCGGUA